GACGAACGCUGGCGGCGUGCUUAACACAUGCAAGUCGAACGGUGAAGCGCCUUCCUUUUUGGUGGGUGUGGAUGAGUGGCGAACGGGUGAGUAACACGUGAGUAACCUGCCCCCUUCUUCUGGAUAACCGCAUGAAAGUGUGGCUAAUACGGGAUAUUCUGGGUCUGUCGCAUGAUGGGUCUGGGAAAGAUAUUGUUUCGGUGGGGGAUGGCUCGCGGCCUAUCAGCUUGUUGGUGGGGUGAUGGCCUACCAAGGCGGUGACGGGUAGCCGGCCUGAGAGGGUGGACGGUCACACUGGGACUGAGACACGGCCCAGACUCCUACGGGAGGCAGCAGUGGGGAAUAUUGCACAAUGGGCGCAAGCCUGAUGCAGCGACGCCGCGUGAGGGAUGGAGGCCUUCGGGUUGUGAACCUCUUUCGCCAGUGAAGCAGGCCUGCCUCGUUUGUGGGUGGGUUGACGGUAGCUGGAUAAGAAGCGCCGGCUAACUACGUG
rnacentral:rRNA from 1 species